CGUAGGAAGGAAGCAGGAACGUAAGACGGAUCCAGGAACGUCAAACAACAACAAUUUGACGGCGAAGAGGUUGAGGCUCACGAAAGUGACAGACGUCGCAUCAUAGACACAGAUAAAGUGCACGGAGUUUUUGUCGAUAUACGGUGUUUUUUCAACUGUUCUGUCGUCUUACAAGCUGUCAACUUAUCAAACGAGAUAAUGAAGAAGACAACCAACUUCUUUCCCGGAAAGACUAUGGUGUCUUUCAGGAAGGGUCCAUCAGGUCAUCUGCGGCAGGAUCCCUCUGACGAGGCCAUGCGGAUCAAAAAGAACCCUUCUCUUCAGGACAAGUCUCCCCCUCAGAGACAUGACCUUGUGAAGACCAAUGCUCUCACUGUGGUC